AGCUUUGCGCAGUGGCAGUAUCGUAGCCAAUGAGGUUUAUCCGAGGCGCGAUUAUUGCUAAUUGAAAACUUUUCCCAGUAUUUAUUUAUCCAGAAAGAAGCCAAUGAUGCCUCAUCUGUCCACAGCUGUAGUGCCCGAUAGGAAUGCAAAGACUGAUUCAAGGGAGAACAAGUUAAAUGUUUUUCACCUUCAGGAAG
rnacentral:snRNA from 1 species